rnacentral:rRNA from 1 species
UACGGGGGGGGCAAGCGUUGUUCGGAAUUACUGGGCGUAAAGGGCUCGUAGGCGGCCAACUAAGUCAGACGUGAAAUCCCUCGGCUUAACCGGGGAACUGCGUCUGAUACUGGAUGGCUUGAGUUUGGGAGAGGGAUGCGGAAUUCCAGGUGUAGCGGUGAAAUGCGUAGAUAUCUGGAGGAACACCGGUGGCGAAGGCGGCAUCCUGGACCAACACUGACGCUGAGGCACGAAGGUCAGGGGAGCAAACGGG